rnacentral:rRNA from 1 species
CAUGCAAGUCGAGCGGAACGAGUUAACUGAACCUUCGGGGGACGUUAACGGCGUCGAGCGGCGGACGGGUGAGUAAUGCCUAGGAAAUUGCCCUGAUGUGGGGGAUAACCAUUGGAAACGAUGGCUAAUACCGCAUGAUGCCUACGGGCCAAAGAGGGGGACCUUCGGGCCUCUCGCGUCAGGAUAUGCCUAGGUGGGAUUAGCUAGUUGGUGAGGUAAGGGCUCACCAAGGCGACGAUCCCUAGCUGGUCUGAGAGGAUGAUCAGCCACACUGGAACUGAGACACGGUCCAGACUCCUACGGGAGGCAGCAGUGGGGAAUAUUGCACAAUGGGCGCAAGCCUGAUGCAGCCAUGCCGCGUGUGUGAAGAAGGCCUUCGGGUUGUAAAGCACUUUCAGUCGUGAGGAAGGUUGAGGGGUUAAUAGAUGCAUUAUUUGACGUUAGCGACAGAAGAAGCACCGGCUAACUCCGUGCCAGCAGCCGCGGUAAUACGGAGGGUGCGAGCGUUAAUCGGAAUUACUGGGCGUAAAGCGCAUGCAGGUGGUUUGUUAAGUCAGAUGUGAAAGCCCGGGGCUCAACCUCGGAAUAGCAUUUGAAACUGGCAGACUAGAGUACUGUAGAGGGGGGUAGAAUUUCAGGUGUAGCGGUGAAAUGCGUAGAGAUCUGAAGGAAUACCGGUGGCGAAGGCGGCCCCCUGGACAGAUACUGACACUCAGAUGCGAAAGCGUGGGGAGCAAACAGGAUUAGAUACCCUGGUAGUCCACGCCGUAAACGAUGUCUACUUGGAGGUUGUGGCCUUGAGCCGUGGCUUUCGGAGCUAACGCGUUAAGUAGACCGCCUGGGGAGUACGGUCGCAAGAUUAAAACUCAAAUGAAUUGACGGGGGCCCGCACAAGCGGUGGAGCAUGUGGUUUAAUUCGAUGCAACGCGAAGAACCUUACCUACUCUUGACAUCCAGAGAACUUUCCAGAGAUGGAUUGGUGCCUUCGGGAACUCUGAGACAGGUGCUGCAUGGCUGUCGUCAGCUCGUGUUGUGAAAUGUUGGGUUAAGUCCCGCAACGAGCGCAACCCUUAUCCUUGUUUGCCAGCGAGUAAUGUCGGGAACUCCAGGGAGACUGCCGGUGAUAAACCGGAGGAAGGUGGGGACGACGUCAAGUCAUCAUGGCCCUUACGAGUAGGGCUACACACGUGCUACAAUGGCGCAUACAGAGGGCGGCCAACUUGCGAAAGUGAGCGAAUCCCAAAAAGUGCGUCGUAGUCCGGAUUGGAGUCUGCAACUCGACUCCAUGAAGUCGGAAUCGCUAGUAAUCGUGGAUCAGAAUGCCACGGUGAAUACGUUCCCGGGCCUUGUACACACCGCCCGUCACACCAUGGGAGUGGGCUGCAAAAGAAGUAGGUAGUUUAACCUUCGGGGGGACGCUUAC